AGAAAGAAGGGAGUGUGUUCAUAACAAUUUCUCUCCUUCUUGAAAACCUGUUAUCUGUGCAACUGGUGUAAGCUGACUUCCCUCUAAAACUGGAGGAUGGGUUGUUCAUGUUACAAUUUAUGGGGUGCUUAUCCACAGACUUCAGUUUGCAGAUGGCUGCAGGCAGAGAACAGAACUCUUAUCAGGGACCAUUCUCUUCGGCUGUCCUUCUGUUGGUCUUGGAUAUCAACAUCGGUACAGGACCAAUGUCACACGUUUGGAAUGAGAAUAGCAUCCCACUUCUUCAUGUGGGUCCUUCAGCUCUGUGAUCUCCCUGCUGAACAGCUGUCAAUCCCAUGCCAGUGACAGAGGAAGCCCGGAGAGGAGACUUCACAGCAGUCUGCCCUCAGGAAAUGCAAUUGGUGCAAAUGGUAGACAUCUGAUUCACCUGCCACACUAAUUCCUGACACGCACCCUAUACCAGCUGCUCUCCGCUGACUUUGGUAAGUGCUCUGAUGAGCUUUGUUUACCCAGGCUUGAGAAGGAGAUGUAUAAAUACAAAUGACUGCAUAACCACAUUUUAGAUAGGACAUCCUUAAAACGCUCAUCGGUAAUGUUUUAGAAACUCUUAUGGCUGUAGACCAAUCUUUUUGAAAACAAAAUUGUUUCAAGUUUUGGGGAGGCAUUUAAAAUAAAGAAAAAGAAAAACUAAGCAAGAUGAAGUAGACAAAUUAAAGCAAGAGAUAUUUUGCCUGCCUUUUUCAUUUUUUAAUUUGAGAUGGAGUCUUACUCUGUUGCCCAGGCUGGAGUGCAAUGGCGAGGUCUCAGCUCACUGCAACCUCCACCCCCCAGGUUUAAGUGAUCCUCCUGCCUCAACUUCC
rnacentral:lncRNA from 10 species